UGCAUUGAAACACUGGUUCCCGUAUGAUCACCGAAGUCAAGCAUGGUCGAGCUUGGUCAAUACGUAGAUAGGUGACCGUUUGGGAGCCU